rnacentral:rRNA from 1 species
GGUCCAGACUCCUACGGGAGGCAGCAGUGGGGAAUAUUGCACAAUGGGCGCAAGCCUGAUGCAGCCAUGCCGCGUGUGUGAAGAAGGCCUUCGGGUUGUAAAGCACUUUCAGCGGGGAGGAAGGCGUUAAGGUUAAUAACCUCAUCGAUUGACGUUACCCGCAGAAGAAGCACCGGCUAACUCCGUGCCAGCAGCCGCGGUAAUACGGAGGGUGCAAGCGUUAAUCGGAAUUACUGGGCGUAAAGCGCACGCAGGCGGUCUGUCAAGUCGGA